rnacentral:rRNA from 1 species
GACGGAGGGUGCUAGCGUUGUUCGGAAUGACUGGGCGUAAAGCGCACGUAGGCGGCUCGUUAAGUCGGGGGUGAAGUCCUGGAGCUCAACUCCAGAACUGCCUUCGAUACUGGCGAUCUCGAGUCCGGAAGAGGUGAGUGGAACUCCUAGUGUAGAGGUGGAAUUCGUAGAUAUUAGGAAGAACACCAGUGGCGAAGGCGGCUCACUGGUCCGGUACUGACGCUGAGGUGCGAAAGCGUGGGGAGCAAACAGG